rnacentral:rRNA from 1 species
UUUAUGGAGAGUUUGAUCCUGGCUCAGGAUGAACGCUGGCGGCGUGCCUAAUACAUGCAAGUCGAGCGAACGGACGAGAAGCUUGCUUCUCUGAUGUUAGCGGCGGACGGGUGAGUAACACGUGGAUAACCUACCUAUAAGACUGGGAUAACUUCGGGAAACCGGAGCUAAUACCGGAUAAUAUUUUAAACCGCAUGGUUCAAAAGUGAAAGACGGUCUUGCUGUCACUUAUAGAUGGAUCCGCGCUGCAUUAGCUAGUUGGUAAGGUAACGGCUUACCAAGGCAACGAUGCAUAGCCGACCUGAGAGGGUGAUCGGCCACACUGGAACUGAGACACGGUCCAGACUCCUACGGGAGGCAGCAGUAGGGAAUCUUCCGCAAUGGGCGAAAGCCUGACGGAGCAACGCCGCGUGAGU